AUGGGGCUGGCUGGAUUCAGCAAGCCUUCUGGAGUGCUUUCAGUAGUCCUGGGCUCAGCCUCCCUCCAACCCCCCUCCAUCUUCCCCUUGGCCUUAUGCUGCAAUGACAAAGACAAAGCAUCUGUGACAGUGGGCUGCUUGGUGACUGGCUUCAUCCCAGAGCCAGUGAAGGUGACCUGGGACACUGGUUCCCUGAACAACAAUGCCGUGACCUUACCUGCCACCCUUCACACAAACUCCAGCCUCUAUACCACAGUGAGUUGGGUGACUGUGUCAGGAGAGUGGUCUCAACAGAAAUUCACCUGCAAUGUGGUGCACAGUCCGUCCAACAGUACCGACAAGAAGACGUUCGCAUGUUCCAAGAACGUCAUCUCGCCCACCAUAAAGAUCUUCCACACCGCUUGUGAUCCCCACAAUGACCCACAGUCCAAGAUGUAUCUGCUUUGCCUCAUCACCGGCUACACUCCAGGGGAAAUCAAGGUCACCUGGCUGGUAAACGGAGAGGAGGACUUGAGCCUCUACCCAGCCACCUCCCAGCCCAGGCUGGAGGGCAAGCUGGCCUCCAUCUCUAGUGAGCUCAACAUCACCCACGGCCAGUGGAUUCCAGAAAGGACCUACACCUGUAAAGCUACCAUCCAUGGCAUGUCCUAUAAGUCCAGUGUAAGAAGGUGCACAGAUUCAAAAGCCCGAGGAAUAGAUGUUUACCUCAUUCCACCCAGCCCCUUGGACCUCUAUGUCAACAAGAUGCCUAAACUCACCUGCCUGGUUGUAGACCUUGCCAGUAAGGAAAGUCUUAAUAUACAAUGGUCCCGGGACAGGAGGACUCCUCUGCAGGAUGUCCAAACCAUGACAAAGGAAGAAAAUAAUGCAACAUAUACCGCUAUAUCCACUUUGUCAGUGAACAUCAAAGAUUGGGUUGCGGGCAAGCGUUUGGUGCCCAGUCUUCACGUGUUCUUGCCACCUGAGGAGAAAAACGAGGACAGGCGCACACUCACCUGCCUGGUCCAGAAUUUCUUCCCCGCUGAUAUCUCGGUGCAUUGGCUGCAGAAUAUGGUCCCCGUACCACCAAAUCAAGUCUACACCAGCGAACCCAAGCCAGUCAAGGGCCUUACCAGUACCUUCUUCAGCUUCAGCCUCCUGGAUGUCAGCAAGGCCGACUGGGAGAAGCACACAUUCACCUGCCGAGUGAUCCACGAGACGCUGCCCGGAAACAAGACCCUCACGAAAUCGGUGUCGAAAGACUCCGGCAAGUCACUCAAGGGCCUGUACAACUGCAGGUCCCAAUCCAGGCCCAAGGAUCCCUGUGCUGAGACCAGCACUUACUGUCCCAUCUCCUCAGAGCUGGACCUUCAGGACUUGUGCGUGGAGGAGCCGGAGAGCAAGGAGCUAGAGGAGUUGUGGACUAGCACCUACAUCUUCAUCAUUCUCUUCCUGUUCAGCGUGAGCUACAGUGCCACGGUCACCUUAGUCAAGGUCCAGUGGGUCUUCUCAACCACAUUGCGAGGAAAACCCCAAGACGUCCACUACUACAGCAACAUCAUGUAG